CCUACGGGGGGCUGCAGUGAGGAAUAUUGGUCAAUGGCCGGAAGGCUGAACCAGCCAAGCCGCGUGAAGGACGAAGGUGCCAAGCAUUGUAAACUUCUUUUAUAAAGGAAUAAAGUGAGGCACGUGUGCCUUUUUGUAUGUACUUUAUGAAUAAGGAUCGGCUAACUCCGUGCCAGCAGCCGCGGUAAUACGGAGGAUCCGAGCGUUAUCCGGAUUUAUUGGGUUUAAAGGGAGCGUAGAUGGGUUGUUAAGUCAGUUGUGAAAGUUUGCGGCUCAACCGUAAAAUUGCAAUUGAUACUGGCAGUCGUGAGUACAGUUGAGGUAGGCGGAAUUCGUGGUGUAGCGGUGAAAUGCUGAGAUAUCACGAAGAACUCCGAUUGCGAAGGCAGCUUACUAAACUGCCACUGACAUUGAUGCUCGAAAGUGUGGGUAUCAAACAGGAUUAGAGACCCUGGUAGUC
rnacentral:rRNA from 1 species